rnacentral:lncRNA from 1 species
CGCGAUUACGCCAGACCUUGUGAUACGACAAUCGAGAUAACCAUCGAGGACAUAGAGGACGGCAGUUAUUUAAGAGACGAUUUGCUCGAUUUCACAGGUGGGGCCUACGGUCAAGUUUGGAACCCGGAUAAUUAUUUGGUAUUCGUAGUCCUGUCGGGUGGGAACGAUAGUGACAAAGGGAUAGGGAGGCAAGCGUUGGCGUGUAACUUAUUCUUCAUAUUCCGAUUGAUUUGGAGAAUCUUCAAGGGGCGCAAGACUGUAAUCUGUUCGAUGAUCGAAUGUUUCUGGUACGACUCGUUUUUCAACAAAACCCACGUCUACAAAGGCUUGCGGGGUGAAAGGUACUUUGAUUUUACAUGGCGAUCAAUGAACAGAAAAAUGUAUUACUACUACGAUGCCUCUGAAAUGUUAGACCCAAGUAUUGACUUGCGCAUGGGCCUCAGGCAAUGGCAGAUACCCGUUAAAACCACCAUUGAUCUGCUGGGCGAGCUGCGCUCAGGACGCAUUGAGAUGCCUCCGGUGGGGUUUUUCCCAGAGUCAGGGGAGUAUAAAUUUGCGAUAAAACACGACUUGAUUAUAUUAAUUAUCGAUUCGAUUCCUCGCUUGAGGAGCAAGAACUUCGAAAACUUUGACCACACGCCGGUCACCGAUUUUGGCUCACUGUGCCUAUCCGUACCCCGGGAGGGUUUCAAGCCGCAGUACUUAACUGUCUUCAAAUGCUUCAACCAAACGGUUUGGGUGUGCUUCCUGGUUACGAUCGCGACAUUUCUCCUCUUGCAACACUUUCACAAGUGGUUCCAGUUGCAACAAUUAAGACACUUGUACUCCGAGCAUGAAAUUUUCCAGUACGAGGGUCUAUCCACUGCUUUGACUAUCUACAGAUAUCUUCUGUGUGUGGCUCAACCACGUUUGCUUCUCGGGAGACUACCGUCGGGAAAGAUACUUUUCGGUAUUUUUGCCUUCGCAGCGAUUGUCUUAAACACGCUCCUCCAGAGUGGAAUGAUGAACAUCCUCAACGAUCGAGUUCGCUACGACGAUAUCGACACGUUGCAGCAAUUCGCCGAGUCGGAUCUUCUUAUUCAAUCGUCGAACCUCCUGUUGGACCGGGAUUUUUUCAUGCAGGAGGAGCGCUCUUACUCCAUUCCAAAGCGGCUUGUCGGGAGUUUCAGCUACAGUUAUGAGAUUCUCCUAAGUAACCUUUUGUACAAUUACAACUACACUGUCGACUUUUCCGAUGGGUCUAUGUGUCCGUGGUGUGAGUCCAUCGUGAGACAAUCGCAGUUUAAAGUCGCGGCAACGUCAGUAUUAGAGAAUCUCCGAGCUAUCAUGACGUCGGACGCUUUUCUGACCAUCACCUCAUCUCGGAUGACGAAAAAAGACUGGGUGAUUACCGACAUUGGCCUGACGUUUGAGUAUC